UCGAACGACUUCCGUUAUUGAUUAUGACGUACUUGUACUGAUUGAGAUUUUAACACGAAGUGAGUGGCGAACGGGUGAGUAACACGUGGGUAACCUGCCCAGAAGUAGGGGAUAACACCUGGAAACAGAUGCUAAUACCGUAUAACAGAGAAAACCGCAUGGUUUUCUUUUAAAAGAUGGCUCUGCUAUCACUUCUGGAUGGACCCGCGGCGUAUUAGCUAGUUGGUGAGGUAAAGGCUCACCAAGGCAGUGAUACGUAGCCGACCUGAGAGGGUAAUCGGCCACAUUGGGACUGAGACACGGCCCAGACUCCUACGGGAGGCAGCAGUAGGGAAUCUUCCACAAUGGACGCAAGUCUGAUGGAGCAACGCCGCGUGAGUGAAGAAGGGUUUCGGCUCGUAAAGCUCUGUUGUUAAAGAAGAACGUGGGUAAGAGUAACUGUUUACCCAGUGACGGUAUUUAACCAGAAAGCCACGGCUAACUACGUGCCAGCAGCCGCGGUAAUACGUAGGUGGCAAGCGUUAUCCGGAUUUAUUGGGCGUAAAGCGAGCGCAGGCGGUCUUUUAAGUCUAAUGUGAAAGCCUUCGGCUCAACCGAAGAAGUGCAUUGGAAACUGGGAGACUUGAGUGCAGAAGAGGACAGUGGAACUCCAUGUGUAGCGGUGAAAUGCGUAGAUAUAUGGAAGAACACCAGUGGCGAAGGCGGCUGUCUGGUCUGCAACUGACGCUGAGGCUCGAAAGCAUGGGUAGCGAACAGGAUUAGAUACCCUGGUAGUCCAUGCCGUAAACGAUGAUUACUAAGUGUUGGAGGGUUUCCGCCCUUCAGUGCUGCAGCUAACGCAUUAAGUAAUCCGCCUGGGGAGUACGACCGCAAGGUUGAAACUCAAAAGAAUUGACGGGGGCCCGCACAAGCGGUGGAGCAUGUGGUUUAAUUCGAAGCUACGCGAAGAACCUUACCAGGUCUUGACAUCUUCUGACAGUCUAAGAGAUUAGAGGUUCCCUUCGGGGACAGAAUGACAGGUGGUGCAUGGUUGUCGUCAGCUCGUGUCGUGAGAUGUUGGGUUAAGUCCCGCAACGAGCGCAACCCUUAUUACUAGUUGCCAGCAUUAAGUUGGGCACUCUAGUGAGACUGCCGGUGACAAACCGGAGGAAGGUGGGGACGACGUCAAAUCAUCAUGCCCCUUAUGACCUGGGCUACACACGUGCUACAAUGGAUGGUACAACGAGUCGCGAGACCGCGAGGUUAAGCUAAUCUCUUAAAACCAUUCUCAGUUCGGACUGUAGGCUGCAACUCGCCUACACGAAGUCGGAAUCGCUAGUAAUCGCGGAUCAGCAUGCCGCGGUGAAUACGUUCCCGGGCCUUGUACACACCGCCCGUCACACCAUGAGAGUUGUAACACCCAAAGCCGGUGGGGUAAC
rnacentral:rRNA from 1 species